CAUAUCACCAGGGGCACAGGAGAAGGUGGGUGAACAAAAUACAUUUCAGUGCCGUUCUAUGAUUUGCCAAAACAUUCCCCGCAGUAGGAGAUGGACCAAAAUCCCCAUCACUUCUGAAGGUGAUGUCCAUAACCAGUUGGCUCCAUCUGACACCAACGGACGGCAGCGUGCUAUGGGCAGGUGUGCGUAUGGGGACCGAGGAGGUUGUACCAUUGGCCAACUGUUACAGCUACCAAGAAGGGAGAAAUAAAAAGAAAACCAACCAGAAUUCUGGGGAAUGAGGAAUCUCGGAGUGUUGGUGUUUUUUUCUUGCAAUAAUUGGACAAAAAGUGAAUGAGACCCCAACCCCCCCCCCCCUGGGUCACCACCCCCUGCCCA
rnacentral:lncRNA from 1 species